AGAGUGAGUGAGACAGAGAAAUCAUGAGUGGGAGAAGGGCAGAAGGAGCAGCAGACCACCGCCUCCACCAGCAGGGAUCCCGAUGCAGGGCUUGAUCCCAGGACUCUGGGAUCAUGACCUGAGCUGAGGGCAGAUGCUUAACCAACUGAGCCCCCAGGUGCCCCAGAACUCAUAUUUUAAAGUAGCAAACAUGGGUUUGCUGGCUAUUAAAAUAAAGAGGGUGUGUCUAUAGUUACAAACUUUUAAAAGAAAAUGUGAAAUAACAAAACGUUAAGAGUAAAAAUGGAACUGAAAUGGAGAGCAAUUAUACAGAUGACAAUUGAAAUGUAGGAAUGUAUUAGAGAAAAGGCUAUAGUAAAAGAUUAUCAUUAAUUUAAGGGACCAUAAUGAGGAGACUUCCCAGGCUGCAUAUGAAUUGGCUAUAAGGUGAGGUUAGGGGCUUAAAAGCCUUCUUGGUUUGAAGCCAGAAUCGGUGGAGCUCCUUGUCCUCAGGGUAGUCACCCAGGCCUAAUAUUAAACACUGCAGGAACUGCUGCCAAAGUUGUGUUUGUACCAGGAAACAGUGCUGCAUGCAAGUCCUACACGAAGCUCCCAGACUUGAAUGCCCUCAACGCUUCUACCCACACUCCCAUGUUAGCCUUCCAAUACUACAGUAUCUGAGAAUACCUAAUCACCGUCCUUUCACCCUCUCCACCUGAAAUCUAUGUUGGGCCAGUGCAAUCAAGAGAAUGGCCUAGUUUUGAUCCCCCAGACAAAUGCAGGAGCCAUUGUAAAAUCAAAUUUCUGCCAGUCGACACUCUCUAUAGAUUGGAAAGGAAGACAUAGGAGAGACACUCAUUUAAUUCAGCCAAUCAGUGUAUAUGUUUGAGUGCCUAAUAUAUUCCUAGCAUUGUACUUGAUGCUAUUAGGGAGAGAAGUGUCAGAGGCUAAUAGUCAGGAAUACAGGAUCAGCACAAUUAAAUACAGAAGGUACAAGGCAGUACAAGAUUAGCAGUUCUCUCUCCCCUUUUUAUGUACUGUGCUAAGAAGGCGCCCUUGUCGAACUGUCUUGCUACCAUGGUGACAGUUACUAAGAAAUGCACAGAUCCACUUAUGAAUGGGUUACAAAGUUCUAUUUGUUGUUAUUAUUGUUUUAAAAAUGGAGUUUCUCCAAUCAGAUGAAUGGUUCUUAACGGUGGUCUCCAAUUUUCUCUAUGGAUUCUCUAUAUUCAGGUCUUUCAAGUCUAUAGUCAUUUCUUGAAGAAAACUGAACCGAAAGCAAGUGGACCCAUCUGUGCUGACCCUGCACAGUUCAAGAGUUUUCCCCUGCUUUGGAUCAGGCUUUAACCCUUCAUGCAUUGUUUGGAAUGACCUCAAGUGUCCCAGGCUUCUAAGUUCAUCCAACCUUUUCAUCUAUAGGUAUAUUCCCCAAGGAAUAUAUUCCCUUUGAUCACGUCUUACUGGUGGUUCCUGUCUUCUCUGUGUCCCAUUUCAUCCUACCUGUGACAACUGCCACCUCCUCAUUUAUUCUCCAAGCACCAUUAUAUACAAGUGGUUGUUUAUGACAGACUUUUCAAGAAAGUCUGGGAAUAACAGAGGACAUAAUACAGCAUAGGGCAGGAAACAGAAUUAUCUAAAAGUUGUUUGGCCGUUUUCAACAAAGGGAAUUUCUCAUUGUGGUUUUCUUCUCAGGGCCUGCUUGCUGCCAUUUUGUUCAGACUUCCUUCUUCACCUCUUUCCUUCAGGAGCUCUUCAGGUCCAAUCUCUGAAAUUCUAUUAUUCCAAGCAGUGCAAUUCUCAUUGUCAAACCUCCUCCCAUAUGAACUGACCACCUCCCAAAAGGCCAACUUUUUCUUUUUUUGCUUCUCAAACAAAAGCUCCAUUUGCCGAAGAGGUGAAUUUUGCCAUUCCCCUAAAAUGUAAAAUAGCAGCUAAAAAUAACUAUUCUAAAAGUUAUUUACUAUCAGGCCACCUGGGUGGCUCAGUUGUUGAGCAUGUGCCUUUGGCUCAGGUCAUGAUCCUGGGAUUGAGUCUUGAAUCAGGUUCCCCAUGGGGAGCCUGCUUCUCUCUUUUCCUGUGUCUCUGCCUCUGUGAGUCUCUUAUGAAUAAACAAAAAUCUAAAAAAAAAAGUUAUUUACUAUCUUUCGCUGUUCACCUGCUUUUUGGCUUAACUCUCCCAUUUGAUCUGUAUUUAAGGUACUAUUUUUCUUGAGACUAUCUUAAGUACAGAUGUAAAGUCAAAGUUUCAGAAUCAUUUUGCAUUGCGCAUAAACCACUCAGUGGUUUGGGGACAAUUCUAGUUCUUUCUUUUAAACUUCAUUUUCUAAUAAGUAAUUCCUCAAAGAUUCAGAAAAGCUAUGGAAUUAUUUGUGAGUUUCUGAUUGUCCUAUAAGAGAUAGGGCGAAGAAUAAAAACGGGUUCCCUGUAGAAAAUGCCCUACCACAUCUGGCAUCAUCCGCAGGCCAGGAACUCUUUUUAUAUGCACCCAGUACAAUUUUCAUAAACCUAUCUGUAUUCAAUCAUAGGAGUAGACUCUUAGGCAGUGACCACAACUUUGCUUUAAGGAUAAGAAUCUUAUCUCUGACCACAGAAAAGUUUCCAAAAGUGCUGGGUAUGGCUAUCUCUCUCUCUCUCUUUUUUUUUUUUUUUUGAAUACGGCUAUCUCUGAGGCAGCCCUAAGUUUCAUUCGAAUGUCACCUCCAAAGGAAGGUAACAUCCGACAAUAAGUACAGCUUCUUGUGAAGAUGGAUAUUUCCCCUUGGAUAGAUUUCAAUUAACAUUAUCUCCAUAUACACUUCCAUGAGGCUGUUAUGUUCUAGGCUGAGCACUGGACUAAGUACCGUGAAGAUGUGAGAAAACAAUAAAACAAAAUCAAGAUGCUAUAGAAACUUAGAAUUCAGGAUAAGAAAAGUUUUACUACACAGAAUAAUUAUGGAAUGAAAAACAAGGUAGAAUUGGUUCAGAGUUCUGGAAUUUUAGAACUAGAAGUAUUUUUAAAAUCAUUCACUGAUUUGCAGAAAUGAAAACUGGAGCUCAGAAGGGUUAGUAGUUUGCCUGAAGUCACACAGUGAAUCAGUGGGAGAGCCCACAGACAUGGAGACGUUUGUCUACCUUACCACAGGUAACAAUUAUUAAGCAUCAAUUCUAUGUAAGGAAAUAUAUUACUUAAGAUAACACAUGUAAAAUGCCUAGCACAGAGGCCCCUGGGUGGCUCAGUCGGUUGAGUGUCCAAAUCCUGAUUUCAGCUCAGGUCAUGAUCUCCAGGUCGUGGUACUGAGUUGUGUUGAGUUCCAAGCUCAGUAGGGUGUCUGCUUGAGAUUCUUUCCCUUUGCUCCUCCCUUGACUCACACUUGCUCACUCUAAAAAUAAAUAAAUAAAAAUUUAAACUGCCUGGCACAAUGCCUAGAACCAUCAGCUGUCACUGUUAUCACAACCAUCAUCACCAUCAUCAUCAUCAUGGCUAAGAGUACAGAUUUUCAUAUUUGCCAGACCCCGAGGGGAGUCCC
rnacentral:lncRNA from 1 species